rnacentral:SRP_RNA from 1 species
GCCAGGUGUGGUGGUGGACAUCUGUAAUCCUAGCUACUCAGGAGGCUGAGGCAGGGGGAUCACUUGAGCACAGGAGGUCAAGGCUACAGUGAGGCGUGAUUGCAUCACUGCACUCUAGCCUGGGCAACAGAGUGAGACUCCGUCUCAA